CCAGCAGCAACCGCAUUGGCAAGUUUAGAUGUGCAACGAAGCAGAACAGCAGGAAGACCCGGGACAAUAUUCCUCCAGGCAUCAUCCCGAAAAGCGCGCUGCAAAUCAGCGGUUAAAGCCGGCUGCUCACUCCAGUCCUUCACUGCACUAUCGGCCACCCUCAGUUCAAUCAUCCUCUCCACCAGCCACAGUAAAUGCUUCCCAUUGGU
rnacentral:misc_RNA from 1 species